rnacentral:lncRNA from 1 species
UUCUGACAUCAGACUCGGACUUCUCUUGAACUGAAUUUUAAUGUGCUUAUUGUUAUGCGUUUACUUUUCUACAUUGGUUAGAGGUAUAGGGGGAGGGUUGAGAUCUCACAAACAUGUUUAACCCCGCCGCAUUUUUGCGCCUGUCCCAAGUCAGGAGCCUCUGGCCUUUGUUAGUCUUGUAUUAUUUUAAUUUUAGUUUCUUG